CGGCGUUGCGUCACUUGGUAUACAUUGCAAUGGAACGCUAAAGUUCAUUGAGCUCCACUGCUGUGGUGUGUUUGGUGUAGAAGAGACGUUCUGGAGUUUUUUCUGCCGAGCUUUGGGACGUGUGGCGCCCUUAAUAUUUGGGGUGCACAACUGAGCCUUCCUCCAACAAAUUUUCUUAACCUAUGGUGCCCAGAUGUUGCUGGACUACAGUACCCAUCCUUCAAAUGUUAAUAUAUCUUUUGGGACUGAUCUGAAAGGGCACCAGGGCCAAGGACCAGUCUUCCAUACCCUUAGACAACCCUUGGUCGCACAUUGGAGAUCAACAGCUUCAAAUUAUCCAGAAAGCAAAAACUAGCAAAUAAAUGAGUAUAAAAAAGUAAAAAAAGUAUGAUAUAAGUACAAACACCAGGGGGAUGUGCUGAAUUCAGCAGAUACGUGUCAGCCUGCACACUGUAAUUAUGCUCUGCCUGUAAUUAGUAUCAUGUCGGCUUUGUCAUGCAGACCUGUGAUAGGUGGUGGGUGGGAGGAACUAUUUUUUGAGACAGGGCUGAAUGCAUUAUUCUGCCUGAUGUAUUCCCCCCCCCCCAACCUUUAUUGCUGUUAUGGUCCUCUCCUGUGCAAAAUAGUGCUUUAUCAGUUCUACCCCUGCAAUCAGCACUCCUCAGUCAUUUCAUAUUUGCUGACAAACAUAAUUACCAAGAUAAAGCCUUUUAACUUGAGCUCUUUAUUUUGAAGAGUAAGGAUGGACCACACACAUGUAGAUCUUUCAUCUGAGCUAAAGGAUUGCUAAUAGAAGUGACUUCUAGCUGCAUGGCAGCACAUUGGCACCUAUAGUGGUAACAGAGUUGAAUUUAUAGCCACCUAUUUACACUUCACUCAUUCAACCCUUUAACACCUGAUUGGGAAAUACAUUUAUUAACACCUGAGAGUCAACCCACCCAAUGCUGUACUGGCCCUUGGGGGAUACAAAUUGUGAAUGUUGACUGCAGACUGUUAGUUAUGGGACUAUUGUGUCACACAAUGUGCUGCCAAUUUACUUCUAAGACUGGGUUUUUUCAUGCCCAUCAAUGACUUAUGCUUAGGGUGACACUCAGGGAGUCACAUUGACUGGAUAGGAUGUGUUGAAUAUCUAAUAAUAUUUUGAGCUCCACCAUUACGGUCCAAGCACUACAUAACAUAAGGGCUCCACAAAACUUGUGUGCUAUGAAAUUCUGGUCACCUCCAUCCCAAAGCUCUUAUAAAGUUCUAUGCAAACAAUGAUAUUCUAAAGAUCCAAUGGCCUACUAAGCUUCUCAUAAGUAUCCCAUUUAGGUAAAGUAUUCUUCACCAAAAGUCAAUAUUGGAUGAGGAUGAGUUAAAAACAGAAAUACACCUACAAGCUAAGCAAGCUCAAGUAAUUGGGAUGCUAGGUACAAUAUAAUACAUCUCAGUGUGCCUGUAUCGUAUACAUUGUAAAUAUUUUUGGACAAAGAACCUCUUUUAAUUAAAAUACCUACAUUUGCAUUGCUGUAUAGAAACAUCAGCUUAUACAGCCAGCUAGUUUUCAGACACUUGUAUCUAGCAGCAACACUUGUUUUGGCCCUUGGGUUUGUUUACCAAAGCUGGCAGGGGUGGGUGGGUAGAUCUCAUAGUACAUUCAAGUUUACUUUCAUCACAGUGAUAGCUUCCUGUUUCCUGACAAUUCAUUGCUUACAUUAAUUACCCAGGACAUUCCAAGUAAAUUAACCUCAAUUAAGGCUUCCUGUGUGUCUCUGUGGCCAACUUCUCGCACUGAUGACUGAUUUCUUCCUCAAAUGGACACCAUUCGCUGUCUGUGAUGGGAAUGAAGUCAAGAAAGGGUACCAGGCAGUCAAGCCAAGCUUUUCUUUUCCUCUGUGGCUGUAGGCCAACUAUGGGGCCAGUAGGGGCAAUGAGUUUGUACCUUUCAAGGAAUCAAUUGGUAUCAUCAACACUUCUCUUAAGUUCCAUUUUUUUGCAGAUCUCUUUUCCUACUGGAAAUCAUCAGGUUUCGUGUUCCUAAAUAGACCAUGUCCACCUUUCCUCACACUUACUACAACAUAGCUCAGGGUUCCCCAUCCUGGCUUGGCUAUUAGCUUGAGCAUAUACAUCCCCAAGAUGGAGUUUUUCCUCCACUUUACUAGGCAAAUACAACUUCAUCUUUAUAUAUCACUUUGCAUCAUCUGACUACGGGUUAGCCAGUGGCUAAACCCGAACAAAGGGGGCAGAUGGCAUUGGGUGUGGGGCAGUCAUGCUGGGGGUUGACAUGAUGGCAUCAGAGGCAGGCUAUGACCCCUGGGCCUGGGUAUUGUAUCACUUUCAAUUCAUUGCAAUUUCUGUCCACCUUUCUCUGUUUCAUACUGGACAGAAAGUUUUAAACUUGGAAGCCCUUUGAAAAACUGGGAUGUCCAGUUCAAAAACACAUGGGUGGCACCCUAUCUCUUUCUUUGUUCUGCAUGAACAAAGUCCAAUCAUUUAAUUAAAGGUAUGGGAUCUGUUAUACAGAAAUCAGUUAUCCAAAAAUCUCUGAAAUACACCAUUCUUGACUGAUUUUCUUUUUUUGAUAGUAAGAAAUAAGUACUUGAUGAUAAGCAAUGUUGAUAGAAACAAAAUAGUGAGUAUCCUAAUAUUAAAUUGUUUUUCAUUUAUUGGCCAGAUUAUUGUUCAGGUUUUCCAAGGCUGAAAACCGAACUUAACUCUUCGGACCAAAAAGGUGGCAACCCUAGUUCCAAGUUGAAUCUGACUCUAGCCUGGCUUCUACAUCAAGGCUGAGCCUAAGCAAUACCCAGUAGAGGAUCUUUUCUUAAACGUGAGCCUUUCUGGAAAAAUUCUAGCCCAAACAUACAAUGUCACUGCACUUCAUAGAAACAGAAUUACUUGGUAAAUAAAUAUAUAUCCGAUGCAAGUUUACUGCCAAUUGCAACUGUUCUACUGAAUGUAAGCUGAAAGGGUCAUUCUAUGGUUUCAUACAGAGGGUGGUUGCUGGAUACAUGCCCAGUAUUAGGAAUCCCCGAGAGCAUGAUUUACAAGUUAGUCCUCCUGGUUAGAUCUUUAAGAACAAAGCUGACCAGGUAGACACCUGGUGGCUUUUCAACAUUUGUUUUAUAACCACACUCUGCUUGCCAAAGAGCUUCACAAAUGCUGUCUGGAUUCACACAUAAUUAUUUAACAAAGUGGUCAUUUUAUAAAUUUAAAAGUAUUGUGCAUUUGAAUCUUAGCUAUGUAUGAUCAGCUUAUCAAAGGAACCUGGAGCCAGUGGAGCCUGCAGUAUUUUUAUUUUAAAGGCCAACUAGGUGUCCAGUUUUAGUUUUCUUUUGUAUUUGGUCUCCCACAGCCCUUCUGUUAUAACUUCCUUUAGACUUACUAGCAGGGAGCAUGGACAGCAUAAUUGGUCAAUGUCCAACCAAACAACCACUCUUGUAAGAACGAUUUACAAGAAACAGCCCCUGGUUUAGCUAAAUCCCCUGUACUAAUAACAAUGCAGGAGGAACAGUCCCCUACGUUUCCUCAUAGCCUGUACGGAGAGAUAUCAUAAAACUAUAACAGCAAAGGUAUUUCCCUAUACUAAGCACAAUUCAGCAGGAACAGCCCUCCAAGAUUUCUUACAGCCUUUUUAAAAUGUUAAUAUAUAGGGUUGCCUUUAGGGGUAUCCAAAUAAAGUCUACACAUAUGGCCAUGCAGAACAGAAAAAAUAGACAGGAGGAUGUGGUAUAGUAGGACAAGAUGGUAACAAAAGGGCAAGAUGGAAAUAACCUUAUACCCACCCUCUCACUCUUCAGUUGAUAACGAUGCACAACUUGCAGGAUCCAUACUGUACAUAGACUCACAAGUCCUAUUCUUACAUGUCACAGUCUUUAUUUGUAUUAUUUUUACCUUCUGUCACAUCUUAGAACAAUUCUUUUCCCAAAACAGUCCUGUCAUAAUUAUCACCCUACUCUCUACUCUCUCUCUCUGGUCUGCUCAUGACCCUCUGGGCUUUGUAAGCAGUGUUAAUGUAAUAGCAGCUUUUAAAGCAUUUAUCUUUCAUGAAUAGUGGCUACCAUGAGUCAUAUGUAAAAUUCACCGUUGUCUAUUGUCCCUGACUUGCACAUCACUCAAUCCCUUGUCCUUCUCCCCGACUGCUCUGCCGCUCAAGCUACUUCCCUUAUAUCUUGCACUUUGCUGCACUGUACAUUAGUGGCCCACUUUAGCGGGGGACCAACUGCAGAAAGGUGCAGAGAGUUUUUGCUUUCUUAUCUCUCUGACU